rnacentral:rRNA from 1 species
UACGGAGGGGGCUAGCGUUGUUCGGAAUUACUGGGCGUAAAGCGUGUAGGCGGCUCGGUAAGUCCGCUGUGAAAGUCCAGGGCUCAACCCUGGAAUGCCGGUGGAAACUGUCGAGCUAGAGUCCGGAAGAGGCGAGUGGAAUUCCUGGUGUAGCGGUGAAAUGCGCAGAUAUCAGGAGGAACACCAAUGGCGAAGGCAGCUCGCUGGGACGGUACUGACGCUGAGACGCGAAAGCGUGGGGAGCGAACAGG